rnacentral:rRNA from 1 species
CAGUAGGGAAUCUUCCACAAUGGGCGCAAGCCUGAUGGAGCAACACCGCGUGAGUGAAGAAGGGUUUCGGCUCGUAAAGCUCUGUUGUUUAAAGAAGAACACGUAUGAGAGUAACUGUUCAUACGUUGACGGUAUUUAACCAGAAAGUCACGGCUAACUACGUGCCAGCAGCCGCGGUAAUACGUAGGUGGCAAGCGUUAUCCGGAUUUAUUGGGCGUAAAGAGAGUGCAGGCGGUUUUCUAAGUCUGAUGUGAAAGCCUUCGGCUUAACCGGAGAAGUGCAUCGGAAACUGGAUAACUUGAGUGCAGAAGAGGGUAGUGGAACUCCAUGUGUAGCGGUGGAAUGCGUAGAUAUAUGGAAGAACACCAGUGGCGAAGGCGGCUACCUGGUCUGCAACUGACGCUGAGACUCGAAAGCAUGGGUAGCGAACAGGAUUAGAUACCCUGGUAG